AACGAACGCUGGCGGCAUGCCUAACACAUGCAAGUCGAACGAGACCUUCGGGUCUAGUGGCGCACGGGUGCGUAACGCGUGGGAACCUGCCCUUAGGUUCGGAAUAACUCCCCGAAAGGGGUGCUAAUACCGGAUAAUGUCUUCGGACCAAAGAUUUAUCGCCUUUGGAUGGGCCCGCGUUGGAUUAGCUAGUUGGUAGGGUAAAAGCCUACCAAGGCGACGAUCCAUAGCUGGUCUGAGAGGAUGAUCAGCCACACUGGGACUGAGACACGGCCCAGACUCCGACGAGGGGCGGAAGUGGGAAAUAUUGAACAAGGGGCGAAGGCCAAAGCCAGCAAUGCCGCAAGAGUGUUGAAGGCCUUAGGAUUGUAAAGCUCUUUUACCCGGGAUGAUAGUGACAGUACCGAGAGAAUAAGCCCGGGAUAACUCCG
rnacentral:rRNA from 1 species